CAGUAGCCACGGUAAAACGUAGGGUGCAAGCGUUAAUCGGAAUUACUUGGCGUAAAGCGUGCGCAGGCGGUUUGCUAAGACAGAUGUGAAAUCCCCGGGCUUAACCUGGGAACUGCAUUUGUGACUGGCAAGCUAGAGUCUGGCAGAGGGGGGUGGAAUUCCGCGUGUAGCAGUGAAAUGCGUAGAUAUGCGGAGGAACACCGAUGGCGAAGGCAGCCCCCUGGGCCAACACUGACGCUCAUGCACGAAAGCGUGGGGAGCAAACAGGAUUAGAUACCCCCGUAGUCCCUGUCUCUUAUAC
rnacentral:rRNA from 1 species